rnacentral:rRNA from 1 species
GAUGAACGCUGGCGGCGUGCCUAAUACAUGCAAGUCGAGCGAAUGGAUUAAGAGCUUGCUCUUAUGAAGUUAGCGGCGGACGGGUGAGUAACACGUGGGUAACCUGCCCAUAAGACUGGGAUAACUCCGGGAAACCGGGGCUAAUACCGGAUAACAUUUUGAACCGCAUGGUUCGAAAUUGAAAGGCGGCUUCGGCUGUCACUUAUGGAUGGACCCGCGUCGCAUUAGCUAGUUGGUGAGGUAACGGCUCACCAAGGCAACGAUGCGUAGCCGACCUGAGAGGGUGAUCGGCCACACUGGGACUGAAACACGGCCCAGACUCCUACGGGAGGCAGAAGUAGGGAAUCUUCCGCAAUGGACGAAAGUCUGACGGAGCAACGCCGCGUGAGUGAGGAAGGCUUUCGGGUCGUAAAACUCUGUUGUUAGGGAAGAACAAGUGCUAGUUGAAUAAGCUGGCACCUUGACGGUACCUAACCAGAAAGCCACGGCUAACUACGUGCCAGCAGCCGCAGUAA